AACGAACGCUAGCGGCAGGCUUAACACAUGCAAGUCGAACGAGAAAGUUUUCCUUCGGGAAAAUGGACAGUGGCAGACGGGUGAGUAACGCGUGGGAACCUACCUGAUGGUACGGAAUAACUCAGGGGAAACUUGAGCUAAUACCGUAUGUGCCCUUCGGGGGAAAGAUUUAUCGCCAUCAGAUGGGCCCGCGUCAGAUUAGCUAGUUGGUGAGGUAACGGCUCACCAAGGCGACGAUCUGUAGCUGGUCUGAGAGGAUGAUCAGCCACACUGGGACUGAGACACGGCCCAGACUCCUACGGGAGGCAGCAGUGGGGAAUAUUGCACAAUGGGCGCAAGCCUGAUGCAGCCAUGCCGCGUGAGUGAUGAAGGCCUUAGGGUUGUAAAGCUCUUUCACCGAUGAAGAUAAUGACGGUAAUCGGAGAAGAAGCCCCGGCUAACUUCGUG
rnacentral:rRNA from 1 species